AUUGAACGCUGGCGGCAUGCCUUACACAUGCAAGUCGAACGGCAGCACGGGUGCUUGCACCUGGUGGCGAGUGGCGAACGGGUGAGUAAUAUAUCGGAACGUACCUUAUUGUGGGGGAUAACGCAGCGAAAGCUGUGCUAAUACCGCAUAAUCCCUAAGGGGGAAAGCGGGGGACCGUAAGGCCUCGCGCAAUUAGAGCGGCCGAUACCUGAUUAGCUAGUUGGUGAGGUAAAGGCUCACCAAGGCAACGAUCAGUAGCUGGUCUGAGAGGACGAUCAGCCACACGGGGACUGGGACACGGCCCAGACUCCUACGGGAGGCAGCAGUGGGGAAUUUUGGACAAUGGGGGCAACCCUGAUCCAGCAAUGCCGCGUGAGUGAAGAAGGCCUUCGGGUUGUAAAGCUCUUUUGUCAGGGAAGAAACAGCAGCUCUAACACAGUAUGCGAAUGACGGUACCUGAAGAAUAAGCACCGGCUAACUACGUGCCAGCCGCCGCCGUAA
rnacentral:rRNA from 1 species